rnacentral:rRNA from 1 species
GGGGAAAGAAGACCCUGUUGAGCUUGACUCUAGUCUGACGUUGUGGUGGGUGUCAGGAGGUGUAGCGUAGGUGGGAGCGAAAGCGAUCUUGAAACACCACUACUCUUGACUACCCGCUACUUAUUCUGUGAAACACUGUCCACGUGGGAGACUGCGUGGUUCUAGUUCAAAGCCUCGGUGAUGUGCGCGGAAGACAUCGUCAGGUGGGGAGUUUGGCUGG